CUGACGAGUGGCGGACGGGUGAGUAACGCGUAGGAAUCUGCCCAAUAGUGGGGGACAACCCGGAGAAAUCCGGGCUAAUACCGCAUACGCCCUACGGGGGAAAGGAGGGGAUCUCUUCGGAGACCUUUCGCUAUUGGAUGAGCCUGCGUCGGAUUAGCUUGUUGGUAGGGUAACGGCCUACCAAGGCGACGAUCCGUAGCUGGUCUGAGAGGACGAUCAGCCACACUGGGACUGAGACACGGCCCAG
rnacentral:rRNA from 1 species